GACACUCUGGAAAGCGCUUCGCAGAAAUGCGCGGCCACCGAAGGGGUAAGCCCGUAUUUUGCGGGUCAGUCUCUCAGGUUUCCCGACAGAGGGGG
rnacentral:ncRNA from 1 species